UAUAUAUAUAUAUAUGUGUGUGUGUGUGUGUGUGUGUGUGUGCGCACAUAUAUAUAUAUAUAUAUAUAUAUGCGCGCACACACACACACACACACACACACACAUAUAUAUA